GACGACGCUGGCGGCGUGCCUAACACAUGCAAGUCGAGCGGGGUUGAAGCGAGGGGUAACUCGGACUUCUACCUAGCGGCGGACGGGUGAGUAACGCGUGGGCAACCUGCCUCAAGGUUUGGGAUAACAGCUCGAAAGGGCUGCUAAUACCGGAUAUGCCUGUGGCCUCGCAUGGGGCUAUGAGCAAAGGGGAAACCCGCCUUGAGAUGGGCCCGCGUCCCAUCAGCUAGUCGGUGAGGUGAAGGCUCACCAAGGCGACGACGGGUAGCCGGCCUGAGAGGGUGACCGGCCACACUGGGACUGAGACACGGCCCAGACUCCUACGGGGGGCAGCAGUGGGGGAUCUUGCACAAUGGGCGAAAGCCUGAUGCAGCGACGCCGCGUGAGCGAAGAAGGCCUUCGGGUUGUAAAGCUCUGUCUGGAGGGACGAAGAAAAUGACGGUACCUCCGGAGGAAGCCACGGCUAACUACGUG
rnacentral:rRNA from 1 species